UUUCAGGCAUGAAAAUCACUCACCUUUCGGCGAAAUUCGCCGUUUUGAAACCAAAAUAGGUGACCUCCGUGAAUCGUGUAGAUUCGAUGAAAAAAUAUUUAGGGGGGGGGGGGGGGGGGUUAGGUUCAGAGGCCGGCCAGUUUAUAGUCCUCCGUAAAGUGCUGUACUUAGACACGGAGAGCCUGUCGGAGAACCUCUCCGUAGUUUACGUGCGCAUACAAUAUUUUUUUAACUAUCAGUCGACGCAACAGAGACGGAUCGCUGUGCCGUAAAAAAACAUCAUAAUGCUGAAAAUAGCCCCGUAGAGUUUACUUCUUUGUGAUUGAAUUACCAGCAGCCACAGAUGCAACAUUGUAGCGAGUGAAAACCGCAAAAUUCUGCCGUGUCCAUGUAUGGGCAGAUUCAGAAUAAGUUGUUGCAAAACGCUGCAAAUUCAACGUCGGUAUUCUUUCUUCUCUAUGCAUAGCGCAUCUCGUCGAUAUUGCUGUUUCGUGCUGCUAGCCUUUUAGUGAGAUCAGAGAGUGUUGAGAAGGACAGUACCAAAAUAUCUUUGGUAAGAUGGAUAUAAGAGAGACCCGCAGUGAAUUCAACCCGCCCGGGCUAUUAUUUGUUUUCUAUCACUGAACUUUCGAACAAAACUCUUGCUCAGCAACGAUGGGAAAUAGCCUACUAUCAAAUGCAUUAUUUAAACCAGUAUGAAUAUUACCAUAGGCCUACAUGUUUACCAGGCAGUUGAAUAACGCCUGCACACACACACACAGGCACGCACGCACGCACACGCAGAGUGGUAAUCGGGAGAGUUGGGAGAAUUCCCUGUGGCCCGUUAACGUUUCGGGGGGCGCCGGGUCAACGUCGCAACCAAUUCGAUUUUGUCUAGAGGGGAGUAACUGAGCGCCCCCUCCCGAAGUGGUACAGCCCAGGUUGGCCUUGAACUGCGAUUGGUCAGAAAGACGUAACAGCUAAUGACAACAUUGAACUCUCAUGCAGGCUCGAACAGAGUGACACACAAACACACACACACACACACACAUAGUUUUUCACCCACUCGGUAUCCAGCUUGUUCCACGCUUAAAGCACCCAGGCUACUAUGCGGCGAGCUGGGGCUCUCAUGUUCUCCCCUGCUGUGUAUUCCUAUUCCGCAUCCCCUGCCAUCCAGUUGUCAUACGAUUCAUGCAGACUGGUUUUGAACGGCUGAUUCCAUCCUGGAUGUACUUUGCGUGUGCCGUGUUUUCCCGCCGAUGUGGCGAAGCUGUAUGGUUAUGCUGUUGAGAGCUUAAAUAAAUGCACUAUAUAAGUUGACUAUGAACAAUUAUUGAAGUUUAACAUUUUGUUCAGCACAUUUGACAACUGACAGAUGCAAUAUUGUAGCCAGUGAAAAUCGCAAAA